ACUAAGCGUACACGGUGGAUGCCCUGGCAGUCAGAGGCGAUGAAGGACGUGCUAAUCUGCGAAAAGCGUCGGUAAGGUGAUAUGAACCGUUAUAACCGGCGAUGUCCGAAUGGGGAAACCCAGUGCAAUUCGUUGCACUAUCGUUAACUGAAUACAUAGGUUAACGAGGCGAACCGGGGGAACUGAAACAUCUAAGUACCCCGAGGAAAAGAAAUCAACCGAGAUUCCCCCAGUAGCGGCGAGCGAACGGGGAGCAGCCCAGAGUCUGAAUCAGCUUGUGUGUUAGUGGAACGGUCUGGAAAGUCCGACGGUACAGGGUGAUAGUCCCGUACACCAAAAUGCACAGGCUGUGAACUCGAAGAGUAGGGCGGGACACGUGGUAUCCUGUCUGAAUAUGGGGGGACCAUCCUCCAAGGCUAAAUACUCCUGACUGACCGAUAGUGAACCAGUACCGUGAGGGAAAGGCGAAAAGAACCCCGGCGAGGGGAGUGAAAAAGAACCUGAAACCGUGUACGUACAAGCAGUGGGAGCACCUUCGGGUGUGACUGCGUACCUUUUGUAUAAUGGGUCAGCGACUUAUAUUCUGUAGCAAGGUUAACCGUAUAGGGGAGCCGCAGGGAAACCGAGUCUUAACUGGGCGUUAAGUUGCAGGGUAUAGACCCGAAACCCGGUGAUCUAGCCAUGGGCAGGUUGAAGGUUGGGUAACACUAACUGGAGGACCGAACCGACUAAUGUUGAAAAAUUAGCGGAUGACUUGUGGCUGGGGGUGAAAGGCCAAUCAAACCGGGAGAUAGCUGGUUCUCCCCGAAAGCUAUUUAGGUAGCGCCUCGUGAAUUCAUCUUCGGGGGUAGAGCACUGUUUCGGCUAGGGGGUCAUCCCGACUUACCAACCCGAUGCAAACUACGAAUACCGAAGAAUGUUAUCACGGGAGACACACGGCGGGUGCUAACGUCCGUCGUGAAGAGGGAAACAACCCAGACCGCCAGCUAAGGUCCCAAAGUCAUGGUUAAGUGGGAAACGAUGUGGGAAGGCACAGACAGCCAGGAUGUUGGCUUAGAAGCAGCCAUCAUUUAAAGAAAGCGUAAUAGCUCACUGGUCGAGUCGGCCUGCGCGGAAGAUGUAACGGGGCUAAACCAUGCACCGAAGCUGCGGCAGCGACACUAUGUGUUGUUGGGUAGGGGAGCGUUCUGUAAGCCUGCGAAGGUGACCUGUGAGGGUUGCUGGAGGUAUCAGAAGUGCGAAUGCUGACAUAAGUAACGAUAAAGCGGGUGAAAAGCCCGCUCGCCGGAAGACCAAGGGUUCCUGUCCAACGUUAAUCGGGGCAGGGUGAGUCGACCCCUAAGGCGAGGCCGAAAGGCGUAGUCGAUGGGAAACAGGUUAAUAUUCCUGUACUUGGUGUUACUGCGAAGGGGGGACGGAGAAGGCUAUGUUAGCCGGGCGACGGUUGUCCCGGUUUAAGCAUGUAGGCUGGUUGUCCAGGCAAAUCCGGAUAAUCAAGGCUGAGGUGUGAUGACGAGGCACUACGGUGCUGAAGUAACAAAUGCCCUGCUUCCAGGAAAAGCCUCUAAGCAUCAGGUAACAUCAAAUCGUACCCCAAACCGACACAGGUGGUCAGGUAGAGAAUACCAAGGCGCUUGAGAGAACUCGGGUGAAGGAACUAGGCAAAAUGGUGCCGUAACUUCGGGAGAAGGCACGCUGGUGUGUAGGUGAAGCCCCUGCGGGUGGAGCUGAGACCAGUCGAAGAUACCAGCUGGCUGCAACUGUUUAUUAAAAACACAGCACUGUGCAAACACGAAAGUGGACGUAUACGGUGUGACGCCUGCCCGGUGCCGGAAGGUUAAUUGAUGGGGUUAUCCGUAAGGAGAAGCUCUUGAUCGAAGCCCCGGUAAACGGCGGCCGUAACUAUAACGGUCCUAAGGUAGCGAAAUUCCUUGUCGGGUAAGUUCCGACCUGCACGAAUGGCGUAAUGAUGGCCAGGCUGUCUCCACCCGAGACUCAGUGAAAUUGAACUCGCUGUGAAGAUGCAGUGUACCCGCGGCAAGACGGAAAGACCCCGUGAACCUUUACUAUAGCUUGACACUGAACAUUGAGCCUUGAUGUGUAGGAUAGGUGGGAGGCUUUGAAGCGUGGACGCCAGUCUGCGUGGAGCCAACCUUGAAAUACCACCCUUUAAUGUUUGAUGUUCUAACGUUGGCCCCUUACCGGGGUUGCGGACAGUGUCUGGUGGGUAGUUUGACUGGGGCGGUCUCCUCCCAAAGCGUAACGGAGGAGCACGAAGGUUAGCUAAUCCUGGUCGGACAUCAGGAGGUUAGUGCAAUGGCAUAAGCUAGCUUGACUGCGAGCGUGACGGCGCGAGCAGGUGCGAAAGCAGGUCAUAGUGAUCCGGUGGUUCUGAAUGGAAGGGCCAUCGCUCAACGGAUAAAAGGUACUCCGGGGAUAACAGGCUGAUACCGCCCAAGAGUUCAUAUCGACGGCGGUGUUUGGCACCUCGAUGUCGGCUCAUCACAUCCUGGGGCUGAAGUAGGUCCCAAGGGUAUGGCUGUUCGCCAUUUAAAGUGGUACGCGAGCUGGGUUUAGAACGUCGUGAGACAGUUCGGUCCCUAUCUGCCGUGGGCGCUGGAGAAUUGAGGGGGGCUGCUCCUAGUACGAGAGGACCGGAGUGGACGCAUCACUGGUGUUCGGGUUGUCAUGCCAAUGGCACUGCCCGGUAGCUAAAUGCGGAAGAGAUAAGUGCUGAAAGCAUCUAAGCACGAAACUUGCCCCGAGAUGAGUUCUCCCUGAGACUUUAAGUCUCCUGAAGGAACGUUGAAGACGACGACGUUGAUAGGCCGGGUGUGUAAGCGCAGCGAUGCGUUGAGCUAACCGGUACUAAUGAACCGUGAGGCUUAACC
rnacentral:rRNA from 1 species